rnacentral:ncRNA from 1 species
AGAGUAAAAGUGCGAUCGUUAAGUGUCCGCCGAACGGGGAGUUGUCGGAGGAACGAAAAGUCCUUGACUUGCGGAUCGUGCUUUGCAUCCCGCU